rnacentral:lncRNA from 1 species
CAUCACGUCUCCCUCUCCUCUCCUGAGUCUCUCUCCUCACUGCACCUGAGUCCUCUCUACUAACACCAUGGGUUGCUGUGGCUGCGGAGGCUGCGGAGGCUGCGGCGGCUGUGGCGGCUGUGGCUGCGGUGGCUGUGGAGGCUGCGGUGGCUGUGGCUGCGGUGGCUGUGGCUGUGGUGGCUGUGGCUGUGGUGGCUGUGGCUGCGGUGGCUGUGGCUGUGGUGGUUGUGGUGGCUGUGGCGGUUGUGGCUGCUGUGGUGGCUGCUGUGGCUGCUGUGGCUGCUGCAAGCCUACGGUAGUCUGCUGCUGCCGCCGCUCCUGCUGCCGCUCCUGUGGUUGUGGCUCCUGUGGCUGUGGCUGUGGCUGUGGGAAGGGCUGUUGCCAGCAGAAGUGCUGCUGCCAGCAGAAGUGUGGCUGCAAGAAGUGCUGCUGCUAGACAGAAGGGUGUUCAGGAGCUGUGUGAGUCCUUUGUCCCAUUGCUUCCUAUAGCUAAAGGCCUCUUACACACCAUCAUGUCUGUCUCCAGCUGGCUCUCUGUCCCUCCAACUCUUUCUUCCUUGAUCUUUAAAGUAGUCUCAUUGACAACUCUCACAAGGUUCUCUAAGGCCUAACAUAGAAACUUCCUGAUUGUUCUCUGGUUGCUACAACUCUUGGCAAAAUCGCUGACUUGGGCUGCCCUCAGGCCUGGCCUAUGCCCUUGGGAUCAGGGUAAGUACUGCAGGCUACUCUUGCCUGCCACUCCUGAUUAAUGCCCUGCUAAUGAGAUUGUUCUGGAACCUUGGCCUUUGUGCAGUCUUCUCUCUAAGCCUUCCCAGUUAAAAGCUGUCUGGACUCACAGUAGUUAAAUGUGAGCAUGUGAGCAUGUGAGCAUCUCUCAGUGCCUAAAGCGUAGAUCAGUAGGAUCUCAGACUCACGGGCUACACUGUCUGUAUUUGAUUCCCAUCACAUGUUCCCGAGUUGCUGUCCACCAAUGGCUGUCUUCCCUCUCUCUGAGAACAGUGGAUUCCCAGUGUCUCUUCUGCUAUGAUGUAGUUGGUUUUCUUCAAUGUCCUCAGUAUCUAAUAAACUACAUAAAAUGUCCC